CAGCCUAUACCACAACUGCAGCCUUGUGGGAUCCUUAACCCACUGUGACGAUCUGGGAUCAAACCAGUGUCCCAGCACUGCAAACACUGAUCCCUUUGCACCACAGAAGGAACUCCAAAAGCUUUGUCAUUUUGACAGCUAUAUAAUAUUCUACUUCGUGGAUACACCAUGAUUUAACAAUAACUCCACUACUGAUGGGACUCAAUUUUUCAUUUCUUGCUUACUAAAAUAACACUGCAAUAACUAAACUUAUAGAAGCAACCUUAGGUUUGUUUGCAAACUGUGCACGUCCAGUCCAGUGGAAUUCCUAGAAGGGAACUGUUAAAUCAGAGUAUGUGAAUGCAUAAUAUUGAUAAAACUUGUAGAACUGCCCUCUGAAGUGGUAUAUCAAUUUGCAUUCCCACCAGUAGUGUAUGAGACUUCCCAUUUCCCCACAUCAAUGUCUAGUUUUGAUUAUUAAACAGGUGGAAUAUGGAAUGUUGCUAUAGUCUUAAUUUCUAUCUCUUUUGAAGGAGACUGACUCUUUUUAUGGAUUUAAAUGUAAAUUUAUAAAUUGUAUAAAUACAUAUAUUUUCCUCUCUCAACUGCCAGGACUAUAAAUUCUUUAUCAAACAGAGCACUGACCCAAGCCAUCUGGGCAGAUGUCCAGCUGUAUGCCAUUGUCUUUUAUUUCCAUUCCAAACCAUUUUCCAAAGACCUGCCUUCUGUCUGGGUCUUCCCAAGCUAAGCAGAGGCAGCAGUCACAUAAUUCUGUAGGCAUUGAAUUCAGGGAAGAGGAAUCUUAUUCCUCACUCUACAAUAUGCUGUGAGACUUCUGCUUAGUUAUUGGACCUCUCCAAGCCUUAAAUUAUAUAUCUGUAAAAUAGAGUAAAGAUUCCUCACUCAUGAGGUUGCUUUGAGGAUUAAGUGAAUAUAUAUGUUUAAAGCCCCAAGCAUAGGGCUUGAAUCUUAUUAGGGCCUCAGUUAAGGGUGAUUUAGUUUUGUCAUCACUAAUCUGUCAGGCAAAGAAAACACCUGACUAAGCAAAGAGUUGUUUCACUGCUUUGGGAUAUUUCCAAUUAAAUACCCCCAGGAGUUAAACAUUGAAAGAUAAUCCCACUGGGGUUGUGCCAGUACUUGGCCUUCACAACUGCCAAAUAAACAUUAAGGAUGAGUUGGUUCUGGUCAGAGUCCCUCAACUCAUUUCUAACAAGAUCAAGCCAUUCUGUGUAAGGAUCUCCACUUCCUUGGAAUGCUGAUUUUUGAAAGGAUAACUGUAAGUAUUCUGCUUCCAUCUAAGACCUACUGAGACAAGGAGGAGCAGGGGGUACUGAGGGAAAGCCCUUGCAUUUAUCCUGCUGGUACAGUUACUAGCACAUGUCAGCACUAUUCUGCCUUGGCAAAGGAUGCUCAUCAAACUAUGCCCAGAGAAAAGUUCACAGUGUGAGAAGAUAUUUGCAAAGCCCAAUGAAAGUCCUCAUAUAAUGUCUGACACUUGUGAAACAAUAAGUGUGUUCUGAACCGGAGUUCCCGUCAUGGCUCAGUGGUUAACGAAUCUGACUAGGAACCAUGAGGUUGCAGGUUCAAUCCCUGGCCUCGCUCAUGUGUACAACUGAGUUAGUUUUCAGGGAAUGUCCUGGACAUGAAACAGAAUCCCCAAGCUAGACACUGAGCAGACAUGCUGUUAAACCCAAAAGACAAACUCUCACUUGAAAAUAAGUAUAGUUUCCACUCCCUAAAACAGUGAAUCUUUCUACUCCACUGCCAAAAGUAAGUUCUGUGCUUUCCCUUUACCUCAAAGCUCAAGAUUCUCACAAAAUACACACAGCUGAGGACUUUGGCAAUUUUCCAGGCUUCUUUGCUGCUAUAGGCAUGAAUUACAGAUGUGGUCCUUCAACACCAUAUAAGUGUGUCUUAUUCCACUAAACUAGUUACCAAUUAUUUUCUAUAGUACAUUCAAAUCAAUGAAAAUACAAUCACCAUGAAAAUUCAGAGAACAAAGCUCAUUUUCCUCAUAACUGAUGCUAUGGUCAAUACCUAACUUGAAGGCCAACAACUCUCAUGCUGGUACCAGGGUCAGUAUUGACUAUUUUUAUGAGACUUUCUUCUGCACUUCAGCCAAUUAGCAUUCUGGCUCCACCCAUUUAUCAAUCACACUCCGCCAGGAUGAAAAGCAACAAUUCCCUGAACUUUAAAUCAAGAACCAGACAUUCUGUUUAGAGACAUUUACUCCCCUUCUCCCAUGUUUCAAAAGGCCCACUUUGAGGGUGACGGGUACUACUCCUGCUAAAAGCCACUAGUAAGUGCUUUAAUGCUCCAUCAACAGAGAUUCGCUCCCUCACCUGAGCUAUGUAAAGGGGACACCAAGGUGAAUGAGACACAGCCCCUAUCCUUGAGUCUAGUGAUCUUGUCUUACCUUCUAUCAAUGACACUGUAUUGGGACACACUCAAAGGAAUAGCCAAAAAGACUAUAUGUAAAAUGGGCCACACUGUCACCCUUUCUGGAACAAAGGAAGGAAAGGUUCAGCUGACUUACAUAUUCACACGUGUUUUGAAGCAUAGUUUAGAAGGGUGGUGGGCAGGAUGGUGUGGAAAAAGAAUCAGAGCUUCAGAGUCAGAGAGACCUGGAUUCAAAUCUCACCCCUGGAACUUACUCCUGCCAUGAUUUGGGGUAAAUCAUUCUCCACUGGGAGGGCAAUUACUCCCUGGGUGGAGGUGUUUGGGGUUAUCACAAUGACUGAAGAAUGGUUCUGGCAAUUAGUGGGUGGGGCCACAGAUAUCAAGUGUCCUGCAAAGGAUGGGAGAGUCCAGUUCAACAAGGAUCUGUUCCACCCAAGACACCAACAGUGUCUAACCACUAAUAACUCUCUCACCAUGUCUCCUCAAUUGUCAGAACAGUGAUAUGCACACCAACCUUCCAGGCUAAGGGUGACAUUAAAAUAAGAUGCUGCAAAUAAAGGGAGUCAGCCAAGGAGGAUGUGCAUAGUCAGCCCUUGAUAAAUGCUAUUCCAGCCUCACUAUUCCCCUCUUAAGUUACAAACAUUGUAAGGAGCUCAUUUUAGACAUGUCCACCAUGUGUGAUACAGCAAAGAAGUAAAACUGAGCAAUCAUUUUCUCAAAGCAUGAAAAGGCAGGUAAUCUACAAAUUUCACAGUUUAGCACAUAUAGAGGUUCCCAGGCUAGGGGUCGAACUGGAGCUACAGCUGCUGGCCUACACCACAGCCACAGCAAUGCCAGAUCCAAGCCCCUGUCUGCAACCACAGCUCAUAGCAACGUCAGAUCCUUAACCCACUGAGCGAGGCCAGGGAUUGACCCGGCAACCUCAUGGUUCCUAGUCAGAUUCAUUUCCACUGCACUAUGAGGGGAACUCCUCACUAACUUUCUUAUCACCUCUUUCACUCUGCCCCACUAACACAUAUAUCCCCCAAGAGAUCAUAACCCUUGAAGGCCUUCGCUCAGCCUAGAUGACCUAUUCCCUAUUUCUAUCUUCCUGGCUAAUGCCUUAAAGACCCAGGUAAAACCACCACCUCUACCAUGAAGCCCUCCCUCUUCUUCCCUAUCACCUCUGUUCAUUGCAUGAGGUGUUCAUUGUAUGCUCAUAAACCAAACAUUCCAGCAGUGAGUUGAAUUCACUGCAGUUUUCAUCUCUAUAUAAUCUAAAGCAAAGUAAUAUAAGCAUUGUCUGGGUCUGGUCAACCACCCAAGAAUAAGUAUGGGCAAGCAAUUCAACUGUUAACACCUGAACUCGCAUAUAUAUCAGUGUUGAUGCAAACGGGCCUUCCUUAAGUGCUGCAGGUUAACAAGAAUAGAACAGCAAACACAGUAUAUAAAUGAUGUGUUCACACCAAAUGAUGCUGAAAUAACUUAGAGCAUACCAUAAAAGCAAAAGUUGUCCUAGGGUUCAAAUAGGGAAAUAUUGGGAAACCUGAAUCAUGGUGUAGUGCAGUGAUGGCAACCUCCAAAGGCCUCAUUCAUGUUUCAGUUGAUACCACAUGCAUUUUCUGAGGAGCCAGAAAACAGUUACAAUGAUGCUGUAAAUGUCACUUUUAUUGGUCUUAUGGUUAUGCUUGUGUUUAAUUUUUAAUUCUGUUAAGAAAUUGUUAAGGAAUUCUGUUCUUCAGGAAUUUCAUUCCAUUUGUAUAUGUGUAAGUUACAUCACAACAUUCACAUAAGUCCAAAAUGGCAGUGCAGAAAAGGAGAAUGUACAAUACAGGUUUGAGAAAAUGCAUUUCAUUUUGAGUACACUGAAAAGCCAGAAUGCAGACAUUAAUCCUUAAUGUAUGUUAAGGGAAUUCAGAGUUGCAGGCAUUGCACAGGACUUAACACUUGUACAUCGACUGAAAAGUAGCUACGUGACUUUGGGCAAGUCUCUUUAUCUCUGUAUUUUACAGUAAAAUGAGAAUACUGAUCAUACAGGUUUGUCCAACCUCAAGUGUAAAAUUAUUAAAAAUACUCUAUAAAUUGUAAAGUGCCAGACACACCAUAGGUGUAAGGAUGACUGUUUCCUAGUGGUCUUCUCAGCUGCUCCCAGCCUUUGAAAGAAAGGAAUUUUUUCUCAGUCAUCUUUACAUCCCCUCCACAUCAAGCCCCUCCUGUCUGCUGAAUGGGACUCCCAUGCAUCUAAAAUCACCAAUCUCCCACUAAAACCAAAAGUUUUCACUGCCUCUAAAAGAAGUAGCCAAAAUACUCUUCCACUUUGAAAUAAGAUCACAGUGACAAAUCGCCAUUCUGUUUCCAAUCUUGUUAACACCAGGGAGUUGUGUUACUAGGACAUACAGUGCUACCAAGUGUUUCCAUUUGUUUCAUUAAACUUUCAUUAAAGGCUUUGUGUUUGUUUAUAUCCUUAAAAAAAAAAAAAAAAAACUAAGCUCAUUUAAAAGGUAAAACACCCACACAAAGGAUUAUCUGCUAUCCCCUUAACAUCUGGCAAGUUCUAAAAAAGAUGAGAACAAAAUUAGCAUUCAUACAAGUACAGUUAAAGUUCUCAUUGUCAAAAAGUCACAGUCUGUGCCUCUCUGGAGAUAAUGAGAAUGGAAAAGUGGUAGGCAGACAAGAGUCAAGCUGCUGGAGUGGUGAGCACCACAGAAAAAAGAUUAGAUUUGAGAAGUGCCUAAAAGGCCAAUAUAGGGCAGGAAGGCAGGCAGGGUUUUAGGACAAUUCUGAUAUGAACCCGAAAUUGGCCUGACCAUUCCCUUCUAACAUUGACUCUAAGUUUCCAACUUUUGCUGAGUCUACUUGGAAUUUCUUUUAAAUACUGCUUCCAUAUUAUCCAAGAUUCACAGUGUAGUUAGUGAUGGCAGGCACCACAGGCUGUCUACCCACACCAGCAUUCUGACAUUCUGGGUGAGCCCUGUCAGACUUCAAAACUAUUUUUAACUACUGUGUAACUCUGAAUUUUAAAUUCUCUCUUAACAGGGCAAUAAUAGCAGAUGCUUCCCAGGAGAAGUUUACCAAUUAUAACAGGAGCUUCCUUGGAAAGAUGUGGCAUUUUAUUAACAGACGGUCAGAAUGAAAAUGCUUCACAAGCAGGGAAACUAAGGAAUACAUAAACGAACAGAAUCAAAUCAUAAGACCUGAAUGAAUACCACUGGAAUCAGCUCAGUCACAGUUAUAUAUAGUUCUGUUUCCUAUCCAUUUUUCUUUGAACCCCUUGACUAAGUCUUUAACAUCUGAAGUAAACAUAGCUUCCUGGAGAGCGUCCUUCCAAUCACAUGAGUGAUCUCCUAGUGCAAUGGGAGGAAAGAGGGAGCUAAAGCCUCUCAUCAAAAGUUUAAAACAGCGAGAUGCGUAUCACUUAAUCUCUCUCCCUCCCUCAAGACAGAUGAAAAGACUCCGGAACGGGUAUUUUUAUUAGAUAUGAGUUUUUAAAAUUUCGAUUUUACAGCAGCAGGUGGAGGAAGGAGAAAGACUGCAGAGAAGAAGCACGUUUUCACUACUGAAACUAAGACAGCUCGAGUCCUGGUUUCUGGAAUCUGUCUGGGAACUUGAGACAGAUGUUUCCGAAGAGAUAUGGGAAAGAAGGGUGGUAUCAUUUGAAUGUCAGGCAGAGAUAAACCUACCGAGGGGUUUAAAUUUUGAUGGAGUCUUGGGAACUCAACAUCACCACUUAAAAAUCAUUUUGAGAAACUCUGAAUAAGUUUGCAAAAUACCAGCCGAGGAGAUGGCGCUCCAAAGCGUUACAUUUCCCACCCGAGUUGAUUUCGGAUCUCGCCCUCCUAAGCCCUGGCGGCCGGCUACGCUCACAACUGUUUCGCAUUACCGCCGGCAGGACGCCGGGGGACUCGCUUUUGCCACAGAACUUGGAGAGCAGACGCGAGUGUGGGACGCGAAUAGAAUCACGUCCGGGGAGGGGUGGGGGGCAGGCAGAGGCUGGCCCUGGGCGCAGGUCGCGAACUUCACCCGGAUUUAGCAAACCAAGAUAUGCGGCAAAGGAACUAGGCAAGGAAGACGAAACUUGGGCAAUGGAGGAAGGAGAACAGAAAGUGGCGAGCGCAGCCUGGCCAAGAGCGGCCAGCUGUGGGCAGUAGGGCCAGGAGCCCCGUCCCGUGAGUCAACACAGGGCCACCGGACGCCCGCCGUAGCUCUCACCUGGCAGCGCCCCGGCCCGGCGCGGGCGGCUGGCUAGUCCCCGGCUUCUCCUCCUCUUCCUCUUCCUUGUCCCGGGAAGGGCUUCGGGGAGCGAAGAACCGGGAGAAGCUGUGCCAGGGGGCGCCGCCCCUUCUCCGGCCGCCGGACAUCUCCCUGGCGCAGCAGUAGGUGCACUGGGAAAGCGCGAGGCGGUGUCCUGCGUCCGGAUCCUGACCCGGCACCGCGGGACCCGGCUAGGGCAGGACCGAUGCAGGGCCACUCAGUCCAUCCCGAGCGGUAGAGGCGCGGGCGCGUUGCGCUCCCCGCGCGGCUCCUUCUC
rnacentral:lncRNA from 1 species